AAGGGUAUAGCUCAGUGGUAGAGCGCGUGCUUGGCAUGCAUGAGGUCCUGGGUUCAAUCCUCAGAACCUCCA
rnacentral:tRNA from 1 species